rnacentral:rRNA from 1 species
UACGGGGGGGGCAAGCGUUGUUCGGAAUUACUGGGCGUAAAGGGUCUGUAGGUGGCUUGCUAAGUCAGACGUGAAAUCCCUCAGCUUAACUGGGGAACUGCGUCUGAGACUGAUGAGCUUGAGUGCAGGAGAGGAAUGCGGAAUUCCAGGUGUAGCGGUGAAAUGCGUAGAUAUCUGGAGGAACACCGGUGGCGAAGGCGGCAUUCUGGACUGCAACUGACACUGAGAGACGAAAGCCAGGGGAGCAAACGGGG